CAGAUAGAUGUGUAUGGCCAUGUAGAGAGUUAUGGUUUCUUUAAAGAUGUGGAUACACACCAGCCUUUGGUCUUGCUUUCUAUUCCCUAUUCAGGAAGCUAUAAAGAAAAGUUUUCCCACAUUCUUGGUUAUUAGACAAGGGGAGCACAAUAUGUGAUGAUGGUUAAAAUGAUUUAUGAUCUAGAGUAUUCCAAAGGAUAAACAACACAGAGAAGGAGAGAACUGCUGGACCACAAUCUUCUGGCAGCACAUGAAAGCCCAAUAAUGAUCUUGGAAAUGUAUUGAUUCAGGGAUUAGCAUGAAAGGCAUCCAGCUAGGAUGCUUUGUUCUGUUUUCGGUGGCAUCAUCGGAGACCUUGAGGAAGGUCGGUAGAUCACGUUGACUCUCGGUCAUUCCAGCUGGAAAUUGUGUAAGAAGCAAAGUCCUCGUGGAGGACCAGAUGUAUCCAUGCUUAUUGUUCCAGGGUAAAUAAAAGAAAAUCCUUUUCAUUUGUUUGAGCAGCUGCUGAUCUCCUGUGAAUUUUCUACUUCAUCAUUUUCAGAAUUUGGCUAAGUAACUGUACAUAUUUCUAAUUAUAUUUAAAGUGUAAUUUAAAUACACACUUCUAUUGCCAUUGUUAUGAAAUGUUAUGAGCCACACUUUAAAAGUGUAAUCAGAAAGGUUACAAGAGCAGUGACACAGAAAAAGCCCGUUGUGCUAGCCAGGCACAUUUCUCUUGACUACAUUACACGAGGCUUUUUGAGAGGGGGCAGAAAAGCAACAUCAUGAAAUAAGACCUGGAGGAUCUCUAAUGGUUUCUCUCUUAAAGCACAGCU